GACACUUUAGCUUAGUGGUGGAGCAUACGAUUGCAAGAUUUGAAUAUCGUGAGGUCCCGUGUUCGACCCACGGAAGUGUCU